CCCAUGCUGCUCCAAUAGCAAAAACAAUAGGCAUUAGAAAGAUAUGUCCCUUAGAUGAAAGGGUUGGUGCCAAAGAUUUUAUAGGUGAAGCUUUUGGUGGUGGUGGUAGAUUUUCAACAUGAAUAGCUAAUUUCAUACCACCAUAGCAAAAACCUUUGCCACUUAUGAAAUAAUAAUGGCGAGUGACAUUCAAUGGGACAACAUCUCUUCCAGCUCCUGUUGUCCAAUUGUGAAGUGGAUGAUCUGAAUUACAACUUUCAUAAUCUGUUUUGUUCACUUCUAGCACAUUCAUUUGGUUCCUAUCAUACACAAAAACUUCAAAAAAAAUUAAAGUUAGUGCUUAGUGUUAUUAUGUAAUGAAAACAAAAACUUGGCAACAUUUAGGGAUUUUUUUAUAUGAAAUUAGUAAUUGUAACAUUUAAUAAUUUAGAGAUUAUUUAUUAGUGAUUUAAAAAAAAAACAGAAAUUGUUCUGUGUUUGUCUCCCGUAAUGAAUUUUUUUAAAAAAAUAACAAUUAUAAAAAAUAAUUUUUAUGAGAAGUUACUCAAAACAACUUUUUUUGAGUAGUUUUGAGAUUUUUUCAGAUUCUGAUUUUUUUCAAAUGUUGUAACAAACAAAUUAAAAUUGCUAAAAGUGAUUAUAUAUUUUUUAAAAUUAUUCUUUUGUAAAACAACAAAUGUACCCUUAAUCUUCUAAGCACUUUCAUUGGUUGGAUUGGAACUAGAAAUUUGCAAGUAGACAGAUACACAAAAAAAUGUUGUUACUUGAAGGAAAAAAAUCUAAAAGUUUUUAAAAAGUCUAAAUGAAAUUUUUUAAAUGAAAAUGUUUUUCUAAAAAGUCUAAAUGAAAAUUUUUAAACUUUUAUCUUUUUUCUGUACUACUCUUUACUAUUUAUUGUCUCAACCCACUUAAAUGAUUAUUUGAAAACAAUAAUAAAAAAAGAACAAAAUUUUCUGAAAAAACGAAACUAAAUGAUUAUUGCUUAUUUGAAGUUAUUGAAAGCAGUAAAUAAAUGUUUCUUAAGGCAAUAUCCAAAAGUCACUAGUUGGCAUGACUUUGACAAAAAUUAAGACCCUUAUGAGUAAUGAUAAAUCACAAGAGAAGAAAUAACAAAAGUCAACAUCUUGGUGAUUUGCUUUUCAUUUUCAAAUCAAGCCAUGAAUUGAGGGGGAAAUUGUAUUAUCAUACUUCACUUUUUGCUGAAAUAUGGAUGACACAAAUGAAAUUAUACUCACAAAUUAAUUAAUUAAUUAAAAUAAGACCAAAAAAAAAACUCAACAAAGGUAGAAAUUAAGGGUUUAUGUUUUAUCUAAAAUACUUAAACACAUGAAAGACAUGAAUAAGCAAAAAAGUUUACAAUCCAUUAGUCAAAAGCAACAAAAAAUUCUGGAUCUGAGAAUGCAGAACAAAAUUUCAAAAUUAUAAAAAAGGAUCCAAAUUUUAAUUUAUUUUUCUUGUGAAUUAUAUACUAUGGACAAAAACUUAAUUUAGAUUAACAUAAAAACAGUAACACCAAAAAAUUAUUCAGUUUCAGCACACAAAACAAGUUUCAUGAAUUAAGUAUUUAACAAUGGAUUUAACAUAUAGUUCAAAGAUUAAUGAAAGCAACCCAAAAGAUCCAAAAUUAACCAAAUCAAACCCUUAUGCCUCUAAAUAAAAUACCAAAUUUAGUAUAAUAAACAUGAAAAAGUUAGCAACUUUACUACUUUAGGUUAUUCUAUGCUUGAACAAGUUCAGAUCCAAUCUAAAUAAAGUAUGAAAAUUUAACUAUUUAUUAUAACAAAAACUCAAACUUUAGAGAGAGAGAGAGAGUGAGAGAGCUUACAAAGCCAAUCACCAUUGUAGAAAUGCUUUCCCUUAGCCCAAGUAGUGUAGUUGAAAUUAGUGUUCCAACCCAUUCUACCACCAACCAUGAACCUUGUAGCUGAGACCAUUGGUAACAUGAGAAGAACAGAAAAACAUAGAAAAAGAAGCACCAUUGUUGGUGGAACUGAUGAACUUAAUACCCUUUUCUUCAUACCCUCCAUUGCUGUUUUUGAAGCUAUCCAAUUUUUUCUGGAACACUCUC
rnacentral:lncRNA from 1 species